rnacentral:rRNA from 1 species
GAUGAACGCUGGCGGCGUGCCUAAUACAUGCAAGUCGAGCGAACGGACGAGAAGCUUGCUUCUCUGAGGUUAGCGGCGGACGGGUGAGUAACACGUGGAUAACCUACCUAUAAGACUGGGAUAACUUCGGGAAACCGGAGCUAAUACCGGAUAAUAUUUUGAACCGCAUGGUUCAAAAGUGAAAGACGGUCUUGCUGUCACUUAUAGAUGGAUCCGCGCUGCAUUAGCUAGUUGGUAAGGUAACGGCUUACCAAGGCAACGAUGCAUAGCCGACCUGAGAGGGUGAUCGGCCACACUGGAACUGAGACACGGUCCAGACUCCUACGGGAGGCAGCAGUAGGGAAUCUUCCGCAAAGGGCGAAAGCCUGACGGAGCAACGCCGCGUGAGUGAUGAAGGUCUUCGGAUCGUAAAACUCUGUUAUUAGGGAAGAACAUAUGUGUAAGUAACUGUGCACAUCUUGACGGUACCUAAUCAGAAAGCCACGGCUAACUACGUG